rnacentral:lncRNA from 1 species
CACUGGAUGGACGUCCGACGCUGCCUCCGGGGCGGAGACAGCUCCGGCCACCAUGCGCCCGUUGCGGCGAUUCCACCCACAGUUCGCUGGCUCUGGGGGUGGCGGGUCUUGGCGCGCGGUGCCUGCGCGAAGGGAGGGCAGCCAUCGCCCCCGCGGUCACUGGGGCCCCGCGUUCCCCGCGGGCUCGGGCAGGUGCGCGGUGUGCCGGCCAGGUCCCCUUGUCCUCCUGCCCUGCGGCUUGGGCGCCGCGC